GAUGAACGCUGGCGGCGUGCCUAAUACAUGCAAGUCGAGCGAAUGGAUUAAGAGCUUGCUCUUAUGAAGUUAGCGGCGGACGGGUGAGUAACACGUGGGUAACCUGCCCAUAAGACUGGGAUAACUCCGGGAAACCGGGGCUAAUACCGGAUAACAUUUUGAACCGCAUGGUUCGAAAUUGAAAGGCGGCUUCGGCUGUCACUUAUGGAUGGCCCCGCGUCGCAUUAGCUGGUUGGUGAGGUAACGGCUCACCAAGGCAACGAUGCGUAGCCGACCUGGGAGGGUGAGCGGCCACACUGGGACUGAGACACGGCCCAGACUCCUACGGGAGGCAGCAGUAGGGAAUCUUCCGCAAUGGACGAAAGUCUGACGGAGCAACGCCGCGUGAGUGAUGAAGGCUUUCGGGUCGUAAAACUCUGUUGUUAGGGAAGAACAAGUGCUAGUUGAAUAAGCUGGCACCUUGACGGUACCUAACCAGAAAGCCACGGCUAACUACGUGCCAGCCGCCGCAGUAA
rnacentral:rRNA from 1 species